rnacentral:rRNA from 1 species
GUAUUAGUUAUGUUCUUGAAACCCAAAGGAUUUGGCGGUAUUUUAGUCUUUUCAGAGGAACCUGCCCCUUAAUUCGACAUUCCACGAUUAUGGUUACUCUUGUUUGUUUAUCAGUUUGUAUAUCUCCGUCAUAAGAGAGUCUUUUUAGAGAAAAUUUUCUUGCUCUUUAAAUAAGUUUAUGUCAGGUCAAGGUGCAAUUUAUGCAGGAGAGGAGGUGGGUUACAAUAUAUUUAUUGUAUACGGAUUAAUAUCUUGAUUUUAUUAUGAAGGUGGAUUUGAUUGUAAGGUUAAUUUUUUAUUAUCCUGAUUUUAGCUCUGGGAUAUGCACACAUCGCCCG